CUACGUGCCAGCAGCCGCGGUAAUACGUAGGGUGCGAGCGUUAAUCGGAAUUACUGGGCGUAAAGCGGGCGCAGACGGUUACUUAAGCAGGAUGUGAAAUCCCCGGGCUCAACCUGGGAACUGCGUUCUGAACUGGGUGACUAGAGUGUGUCAGAGGGAGGUAGAAUUCCACGUGUAGCAGUGAAAUGCGUAGAGAUGUGGAGGAAUACCGAUGGCGAAGGCAGCCUCCUGGGAUAACACUGACGUUCAUGCCCGAAAGCGUGGGUAGCAAACAGGAUUAGAUACCCUGGUAGUCCACGCCCUAAACGAUGUCGAUUAGCUGUUGGGCAACUUGAUUGCUUGGUAGCGAAGCUAACGCGUGAAAUCGACCGCCUGGGGAGUACGGUCGCAAGAUUAAAACUCAAAGGAAUUGACGGGGACCCGCACAAGCGGUGGAGCAUGUGGUUUAAUUCGAUGCAACGCGAAGAACCUUACCUACUCUUGACAUCCAUGGAAUUCUGUAGAGAUACGGGAGUGC
rnacentral:rRNA from 1 species